UACGUAGGGGGCAAGCGUUGUCCGGAUUCAUUGGGCGUAAAGAGCGUGUAGGCGGCCAGGUAGGUCGGUUGUGAAAACUCGAGGCUCAACCUCGAGACGUCGGCGGAAACCAUCUGGCUAGAGUCCGGAAGAGGAGAGUGGAAUUCCUGGUGUAGCGGUGAAAUGCGCAGAUAUCAGGAAGAACACCCGUGGCGAAGGCGGCUUUCUGGGACGGUACUGACGCUGGGACGCGAAAGCGUGGGGAGCGAACAGG
rnacentral:rRNA from 1 species